AAGAUGUAAUAUAAGACUUCUAAUCUUUAAAUAGUGUUAACACUACAUCUUU
rnacentral:tRNA from 2 species